CUCGUAGGCGGUUCGUCGCGUCCGGUGUGAAAGUCCAUCGCUUAACGGUGGAUCCGCGCCGGGUACGGGCGGGCUUGAGUGCGGUAGGGGAGACUGGAAUUCCCGGUGUAACGGUGGAAUGUGUAGAUAUCAGGAGGAACACCGGUGGCGAAGGCGGGUCUCUGGGCCGUUACUGACGCUGAGGAGCGAAAGCGUGGGGAGCGAACA
rnacentral:rRNA from 1 species